rnacentral:rRNA from 1 species
AUGGAUUGGCGAUACUUGGAAAUUUACGACGACACGGAAGAUCCAUGUGGACUAAUGUACUACAAAGGCAUCUACCAUAAUUUCUACCAGUAUAACCCCCACUGCGCCCUCUGGUGUUGGGGUGACAUAACUUGGGGCCAUUCGGUUUCGACAGACCUUGUCAACUGGAUCCAGCUUGAACCUGUGAUAGAACCGGAUAACCCUAGUGACAUUGACGGCUGCUGGACCGGUUCAGCCACAAUUCUAUCUGGUGGUCAACCGGUCAUCUUAUACACCGGUGGCAGGAGAGACAAGCGUCAGGUCCAAAACCUUGUGCUUCCCAAGAACCCGUCUGACCCGUACCUGAGAGAAUGGACCAAAAUUGGCAAUAACCCAGUGAUCCAACCGGUAGUACCGGGUUUGAACAGAAGCCAAUUCAGGGAUCCGACGACCGGUUGGAUCGGACCAGAUGGACUGUGGAGAAUAGCAGUUGGUGCCGAGCUGAAAGGCUACACUGCUGCACUUUUGUACAAGAGUGAAGACUUUUUGAGUUGGACAAUAGUUGAUCACCCACUGUAUUCACAGAACUACUCAUGCAAUAUGCGGAAGUGCAAUAUGUGGGAGUGCCUGGAUUUCUUUGCGGUGUUGCCAGGCAAUAACAGUGGACUGGACAUGUCCGCAGCAAUCUUAAGAGGCACCAAGCAUGCUCUCAAAAUGAGUGUGGAUUACUUUGAUAAGUACUUGAUUGGGGUUUAUGAUCUCAAACGUGAUGCCUUUCUGCCAGAUACUAUCGUAGAUGACUGUCGGCUGUGGCUGAGGAUCGAUUAUGGCCAUUUCUAUGCUUCAAAGUCAUUCUUUGACUCGAAAAAGGGCAGGAGGAUCAUAUGGGGUUGGUCUCAGGAGGCAGAUUGUCGUUCAGAUGAUGUUGCAAAAGGUUGGGCAGGAAUCCAUACAAUCCCCAGGACGAUUUGGCUAGACAGCAAUGGCAAGCAGUUGCUGCAAUGGCCAGUUGAUGAGAUUGAGUCCCUUCGAACAAAUGAAAUCAACCAUCAAGGACUUGAGCUCAACAAGGGAGAUAUGUUUGAGAUCAAUGGAGUUGACACUUUUCAGGCUGAUGUGGAGAUAUAUUUUGAGCUGACGUCCAUCAAUGCCGCCGAACCUUUUAAUUCUUCCUGGCUUUUCGACCCUGAGGAGCAUUGCUGUGAAGCCGGUGCAUCGGUUCAUGGUGGUAUAGGGCCAUUUGGACUUGUUAUUCUGGCCUCCAACAACAUGGAUGAGCACACUGUCGUGCACUUCAGAGUCUACAAGUCACAGCAAAAGUACAUGAUACUCAUGUGCUCUGAUCUAAGAAGGUCUUCCAUCAGACCAUCACCGUACACACCAGCCUAUGGAGGCUUCUUUGAACUUGAUCUUGCAAAGGAGAGGCAGAUAUCUCUCAGAACUCUGAUUGAUCGGUCGGCGGUGGAGAGCUUCGGUGGUGGUGGUAGGGUUUGCAUCACGUCCAGAGUUUAUCCAGCGGUGCUCGCCGGUGUCGGCAAGGCCCACAUGUAUGCCUUCAACAAUGGAAGUGCCACGGUCAGGGUGCCACAGCUCAGCGCAUGGACCAUGAGGAAGGCAGAAGUGAACGUGGAGAAGGGUUGGAGUGCUAUUUAA